GGGGCCUGCAGAAGAGUCUUUCGAUUUGAUCUCGUUGCACCUGGGCCCUUUUGCCUGCUGUAGCCGAGGGAGCUUUUCUGAGCCUCUUCAGACCGCUCUGGGAUGCCGACUUGCAAAGUGUCCUUAGGACUAUGUAGGCCGAUGUCAAAGGCUCCUGCUGGUCCAUUACCUAGGGACCAGAAACAUAAAUUAUGUCGCCGUAGUUGACAGUGCCCCAGCAGCCUGGAGGGAAGAGAAGGUCCAGAUUAAAGGGCUUUAGCCGGCUGUGGUGGUGCACGCCUGUAAUCCCAACACUCGGGAGGCUGAGGCAGGAGGAUCGUUAUGAGCUCGAGGCCACCCUGGGCUACAAGGCUCCCAACCAGGUUUUCUGGACUAAGCUGACACCUUCCUAGUACAAGGACAGCACCCAGGAGGACUAGAAACUGCACCCUGUCCCCAUCCUGCGUACCUCCCAGUGAGUUCCUCAGGACUUCUCCUACCAGAGGCCCGAAAGCCCUGCCUCCCUAGGAGCAAGCAAGCUGGGGACCCGGAAGGCGGCUGAGCUUCGGGAAGAAGCAGACCUGAGAGCGCUCUUGUUCUUCACCCUGGAUGGAGAAGAGUAUAAAGUACAAGUCUGAGCUGAGAGAAUGCAAGGGCCCACUUGGGGAGACACAUUCAGCUCAUUCCGUUAGACAGGACAGCCAGCGCUACAAGGAAUAUCAGUGCUGUGAGGAAGCGGCAGGUGGGUGGGUGAGGGAGGGUAGGUUAUCAACAAGCCUUGUCGUUUCUGCUUCUGGGGUGUUCCUUGCAAAAAUUUUCUCUUUUCCUGUCCCUGUUGCCCCUUCUGUUCUCUUCUCAGCACAUCUUACUCCCUGAUUGGGUCACUGCAACCUGCUUUUAGAAAGAGCUUUCCAAAACACAAUCUCUCCUCUAGUUCAGUUCUGCCCAGCUCUUCUUGGUAGUAAUGGCUCUCGAACUGAUUUGGUCUCAGAUCGUCUUUGCAGUCUUAAAAGUCCUGGAGGACCCCAAAGAGCUCUUCUAUAUGUUGGUCAUAUCUAUCAAAGGUUACCAGGUUAGAAAUGAAAAGUGAGAAUAUUUAAAAAUACUUAUUAAUCGUAAAAUGGAAAGCAGACCCAUUACAAGUGGAUUUUUUUCCUCUGAAAAAUAGCUAAGUUUCCCAAGACUUUUGUGAGCAAAAUACUUUGUGAGCAACGUGGUAUUGUUCUGCAGUUCUGCAAAUCCUCUUAUUGUCUGGCUUAAGUAGAACGCAGUUUGAUUCUCAGCUCUGCUUCUGUAAUCAAGCUGUUGCAAUGUAUUGUUUGGAUUGAAGCGUAUGAAGAAAAUCAGACCUCAUACAAGUAUAUGCUUGCAAAAAAGGAGGAGUACUUUAACCUCUUUCAGAUAAUGGUGAAUAGUUUCUUUAAUGCCACACCAAAACCCAACAAGCAGUAGUUUUUUAAAGAUGAGUUGCCAUGUGGAACGUGGUUUCAGUAUCAAUGAACAUUUUUACUCUGUUACAUUGAAAUCCAUUUCUUUCACAUUUAGAGUGGAUAUUUCAUCCAUCCCCUGCAUGAUUUUGCAACAUCCUGUGGAAUAUGUUGGGUCACCACCUUAUGCAGAUCCUCCUAACAUUGACACAUUUCAUAGCACUGUUGAGUGUCAAAGAAUAUCAUUAGUGGUAUCAUUGAAUUACCACUGAUGACAAACCCUGGUGUAAAUUUUCCAACAUUUUCAUUUUUUCCUCAAAAGCUCAGAUCUUUUUCAUUGGCAAUAAAUACUGUCAGUUGUUUUUCAGGAAGUGACAAGCUCACUGCAUUUAUUUUUUAAGAAAAUACCUACCAAAUACCCAAAGUGAAUAACCAUAAUUUCCAGGGAGCAGUUAUUCCUUCAAGUAAAAGUGGUAUUCCAUGAACAAUGUCUGGUUUCACCUGCAGCUCAAACCACUGCCCAAGUACUUUUCCAAGUGAAAACCAAGGUGCUCUGGUAGGAAACGGCAUGGCCUCAUGAAUCCUCAUUUCCUCGUGCAGAAUGUUAGAAAGUGUAUUCUCAAGGAUCAAGGAUAUUAAUUAAAGUAAUGACUUUACUAUUUCAUUGUGUAUGUUCUUAUCUAAACCCCCCCCCGCUUUGCUUUUGUGUCCUCAUUAUAAAUCUCAAUAAAGUAAUAUGGUGAA